AACGCACCUUGCGCUCCUUGGUAUUCUGAGGAGCAUGCCUGUUUGAGUGUCAUGGAAUCAUCAACUCUCUUGGUCUUUAUUGACUUUUAGAGAGCUUGGACUUGGAGGGUUUUUGCUGGUUUCUGUACUUUUUUGAAGUAUAAAAUCAGCUCCUCUUGAAUGCAUUAGCUUGAACCUAUGCUGUGAUCGGCUGUUUGGUGUGAUAAUUGUCUACGCCACAGUUGUGAAAGCUAUAAAUAUGUAGGAUCAGCUUCGAACCGUCCUUUACAAAUGGGACAACAUCUUUAUUGACCUCUGACCUCAAAUCAGGUAGGAUUACCCGCUGAACUUAA
rnacentral:rRNA from 1 species